rnacentral:tRNA from 1 species
GGGAGAGUGGCGUAAUUGGCAGCCGCGCAUGGUUUAGGCCCAUGUGUCGAAAGACGUGGGGGUUCGACUCCCUCCUCUCCUACCA